UACGUAGGGUGCAAGCGUUGUCCGGAAUUAUUGGGCGUAAAGAGCUCGUAGGCGGUUUGUCGCGUCGAAUGUGAAAACCCGGGGCUCAACCCCGGGCCUGCAUUCGAUACGGGCAGACUAGAGUUCGGUAGGGGAGUCUGGAAUUCCUGGUGUAGCGGUGAAAUGCGUAGAUAUCAGGAGGAACACCAGAGGCGAAGGCGGCGAACUGGACAGUAACUGACACUCAACUGCGAAAGCGUGGGGAGCAAACAGG
rnacentral:rRNA from 1 species